rnacentral:SRP_RNA from 1 species
GCUGGGCACGGUGGCGCGCGCCUGUAAUCCCAGUUACUCAGGAGGCUGAGGUAGGGGAUUCGCUUGAACCCAGGAGGCGGAGGCUGCAGUGAGCCGAGAUCGCACCAUUGCACUCUAGCCUGGGUGACAGAGCGACACUCCAUCUCAA